GACGAUAUAGCACAACGGGAGUGCAUUACAUGAAGUAAAGAUUGCUGGUUCGACUCCAGCAGUUGUCA
rnacentral:tRNA from 1 species